CAGUCGCCGCGGGAAUACAGAGGAUGCAAGCGUUAUCCGGAAUGAUUGGGCGUAAAGGGCUCGCGGGCGGUUUCAUAAGUCUGAUGUGAAAGCCCCCGGCUCAACCGGGGAGGGUCAUUGGAAACUGGGAAACUUGAGUGCAGAAGAGGAGAGUGGAAUUCCACGUGUAGCGGUGAAAUGCGUAGAGAUUAGGAGGAACACCAGUGGCGAAGGCGGCUUUUUGGCCUGUAACUGACGCUCAUGCACGAAAGCGUGGGGAGCAAACAGGAUUAGAUACCCGCGUAGUCCCUGUCUCUUAUAC
rnacentral:rRNA from 1 species